rnacentral:tRNA from 1 species
CGUCUAAUGGUUAGGACAUGGCCUUUUCACGGCUAAAAUAUGAGUUCAAUUCUCAUAG